rnacentral:rRNA from 1 species
AGAGUUUGAUCCUGGCUCAGAAUGAACGCUGGCGGCGUGCUUAACACAUGCAAGUCGAACGAGAAAGGGAUUGCUUGCAGUCCCGAGUAGAGUGGCGCACGGGUGAGUAACACGUAGAUAAUCUGCCUUCAAGCCUGGGAUAACUAUUCGAAAGGGUAGCUAAUACCGGAUAAAGUCGAUCUACACAAGUAGAUUGAUGAAAGAUUGCCUCUUCUUGAAAGCAAUUGUUUGGAGAUGAGUUUGCGUACCAUUAGCUUGUUGGUGGGGUAAAGGCCUACCAAGGCAACGAUGGUUAGCUGGUCUGAGAGGAUGAUCAGCCACACUGGAACUGGAACACGGUCCAGACUCCUACGGGAGGCAGCAGUGAGGAAUUUUGCGCAAUGGGGGCAACCCUGACGCAGCAACGCCGCGUGAGUGAAGAAGGCCUUUGGGUCGUAAAGCUCUGUCAAUGGGGAAGAAGUUGUGUGGUUCGAAUAGGGCCAUGCAUUGACGGUACCCAUGAAGGAAGCACCGGCUAACUCCGUGCCAGCAGCCGCGGUAAU